rnacentral:sRNA from 13 species
UAAGCCAAAUGGAUUUGGCUACUCGCUGUGGUUAAUAAUUUCAAGAAUUGACACAAACUUAAUAAAUCACUCAGAAGGUCCCAAAAAAUGUUCCGAGCGACAAGGACAAGGACAAGGGAGCCUGCCACAAAACGAGCAAAUCGUGCAAUACUUGUUGGCUGUCAGGAUUGGUAACGUUUUCGAGUCUGUCGCUUGAAUGCCCGCCCGCCCGCGCCGUUCAGCGUCCGAUAAUAAUGCAAUUACUAUUUGAAAAAUGAUGUCUGACAGUUUUGAAUUUGUCAUGGUAUUUAUCAAAGUCGUCUCAGCCGCUCCAAAGCCGUUCGUGCCAUGUGCAGCAGACUGGUCCAGUGCAAGCUGAGGGAACCUGGAGCGUAGCUGGUGCGCCUCCAUAUGCUGCACGUUCAUGGGAAGUAAAAAAUUAACAUGUCACUUUCAUCGCAGGUUAAACCUGAACGGGGUACAAGACUUUUGAUAUCAACGCUACAAAAGACUUAUUAAUAGCUCUAUUAAUUUAGCGAUAAGAGCAACAUCUUUUUCAACUCUCUGUCGAGCAGCUUUAAUUCAGUUGUAUAAAGGAUUGGUACAAACAACGAUGAAACGACGACGACGAAGCGGGUCAUUUGUUA